AUGGGCUACUGCUCGCACCUCUACCUACAGGUUACAGGUUCCUUCCUUCCUCUAGAUGGUGGCCUGGGAAGGAAGAUUUUUGUUAAUUCAUUCAGAGUUCUAUCAUGCACAAUCAUGUAUGCACACCAGUCUAUCCAGAAGAUUAGGUCGCGGCCCUCUCUGCCCGGGCCGCCGGCUUCCCGGAGGGCCGCAUCCGGCCUGCCGCAAGUACACCUAAGCUACCGCCUCCCAGGGGGCCGCAAUUGGAAGUGGAUGACCAAGGAGAAGGUGCACCGUGGGGGCCAGGCGCUUAAGUGGGAGGCGGAGCUCGCCUCCCCCAACAACGACGACUUCGAUCUCAAGUGA
rnacentral:rRNA from 1 species